rnacentral:rRNA from 1 species
UGGCGGACGGGUGAGUAAUGUCUGGGAAACUGCCCGAUGGAGGGGGAUAACUACUGGAAACGGUAGCUAAUACCGCAUAACGUCGCAAGACCAAAGAGGGGGACCUCCGGGCCUCGCGCCAUCAGAUGAACCCAUAUGGGAUUAGCUUGUAGGUAAGGUAACGGCUUACCUAGGCGACGAUCCCUAGCUGGUCUGAGAGGAUGAUCAGCCACACUGGGACUGAGACACGGCCCAG